rnacentral:rRNA from 1 species
UACGGAAGGCAGCAGUGGGGAAGUAUUGCACAAUGGGCGCAAGCCUGAUGCAGCCAUGCCGCGUGUAUGAAAAAGGCCUUCGGGUUGUAAAGUACUUUCAGUCGUGAGGAAGGUGUUAAGGUUAAUAACCUUAGCAAUUGACGUUAGCGACAGAAGAAGCACCGGCUAACUCCGUGCCAGCAGCCGCGGUAAUACGGAGGGUGCGAGCGUUAAUCGGAAUUACUGGGCGUAAAGGGCACGCAGGCGGUUAAUUAAGUUGGAUGUGAAAUCCCCGGGCUUAACCUGGGAAUGGCAUUCAAGACUGGUUAGCUAGAGUCUUGUAGAGGGGGUAGAAUUCCAUGUGUAGCGGUGAAAUGCGUAGAGAUGUGGAGGAAUACCGGUGGCGAAGGCGGCCCCUGGACAAAGACUGACGCUCAUGUGCGAAAGCGUGGGGAGCAAACAGGGAUUAGAUACC